AUACGGAGGGUGCAAGCGUUACUCGGAAUCACUGGGCGUAAAGGAUGCGUAGGCUGGAUGUCAAGUUGGAAGUGAAAUCCUAUGGCUUAACCAUAGAACUGCUUCCAAAACUGGCAACCUAGAGUGAGGGAGAGGCAGAUGGAAUUAGUGGUGUAGGGGUAAAAUCCGUAGAUAUCACUAGGAAUACCGAUUGCGAAGGCGAUCUGCUAGAACUCUACUGACGCUAAGGCAUGAAAGCGUGGGGAGCAAGCAGGAUUAGAUACCCCGGUAGUCC
rnacentral:rRNA from 1 species